rnacentral:rRNA from 1 species
UAGGGUGCGAGCGUUGUCCGGAAUUAUUGGGCGUAAAGAGCUCGUAGGCGGUUUGUUGCGUCGGCUGUGAAAUCCCGAGGCUCAACCUCGGGUCUGCAGUCGAUACGAGCAAACUAGAGUGUUGCAGGGGAGACUGGAAUUCCUGGUGUAGCGGUGAAAUGCGCAGAUAUCAGGAGGAACACCGGUGGCGAAGGCGGGUCUCUGGGCAACAACUGACGCUGAGGAGCGAAAGCGUGGGGAGCGAACAGG